UACGUAGGUGGCGAGCGUUGUCCGGAAUUACUGGGUGUAAAGCGCGUGUAGGCGGGAGGCCAAGUCUGUGGUGAAAUCGCUCGGCUUAACUGGGCGGGGUCCAUGGAAACUGGUCACCUGGAGGUCGGUAGAGGCAAGUGGAAUUCCCGGUGUAGUGGUGAAAUGCGUAGAGAUCGGGAGGAACACCAGUGGCGAAGGCGGCUUGCUGGGCCGGACCUGAUGCUGAGACGCGAAGGCGUGGGGAGCGAACGGG
rnacentral:rRNA from 1 species